GAAACGAAGUCUAAAACCCCAUAGGAAAGAAGAAAGGCAUCUUCUUCUUUUGAAACAGGCGUUUGCCUGGGGGACGGAUGGAUCUGCGGUGCAUUAGUUAGUUGGCGAGGUAACAGCUCACCAAGACGAUGAUGCAUAGCCGGCCUGAGAGGGCGAUCGGCCACACUGGGACUGAGACACGGCCCAGACUCCUGCGGGAGGCAGCAGUAGGGAAUUUUCGUCAAUGGGCGCAAGCCUGAACGAGCAAUGCCGCGUGAGCGAAGAAGGUCUUCGGAUCGUAAAACUCUGUUGCGGGGGAAAAAGGAAGGAAAGAGGAAAUGCUUUUCUUUUGAUGGUACCCCGCCAGAAAGUCACGGCUAACUACGUGCCAGCAACCGCGGUAAUACGUAGGUGGCAAGCGUUAUCCGGAAUGAUUGGGCGUAAAGGGUGCGCAGGCUGCGCGUCAAGUCUGAAGUGAAAGGUACGGGCUUAACCGGUACAGGCCUUGGAAACUGGCACGCUAGAGGACAGGAGAGGGCGGUGGAACUCCAUGUGUAGCGGUAAAAUGCGUAGAUAUAUGGAAGAACACCAGUUGCGAAGGCGACCGCCUGGACUGUUGCUGACGCUCAGGCACGAAAGCGUGGGGAGCAAAUAGGAUUAGAUACCCUAGUAGUCCACGCCCUAAACGAUGAGGAGCAGGUGUCGGAGGGAGGACCCCGGUGCCGAAGCUAACGCAGUGACUCCUCCGCCUGGGGAGUAUGCACGCAAGUGUGAAACUCAAAGGAAUUGACGG
rnacentral:rRNA from 1 species